CUGUGCUACAUGUAUCUAUAGAGAAAUUUGUACAUGGAGAUAACGGGUACCAGUCUGCUUAUAUUUUGAAAGCCGAGUUUUGUUUCAAUUUGUUUGUUUAUUUGUACCUGUUUCGUUAUUUUAUCGUAUAUCUGUCGUAAACAUGGUAAGGAGAGGGUGAAAAUACUUUCAUACAUGUCAUAAGACAGCAACAAUUAUUGGUUUUUUUUCUGCAUCAGAUGAGACGACUUCUGUGUGCAGCAGUGUUAAUGAAAUUGGAGCCGAAAUUAAUGAAUAUGAAU
rnacentral:lncRNA from 1 species